rnacentral:rRNA from 1 species
CGCUAUCACUCCUACGGGAGGCAGCAGUGGGGAAUAUUGCACAAUGGGGGAAACCCUGAUGCAGCCAUGCCGCGUGUGUGAAGAAGGCCUUCGGGUUGUAAAGCACUUUCAGUAGGGAGGAAGGUAGUGUAGUUAAUAGCUGCAUUAUUUGACGUUAGCGACAGAAGAAGCACCGGCUAACUCCGUGCCAGCAGCCGCGGUAAUACGGAGGGUGCGAGCGUUAAUCGGAAUUACUGGGCGUAAAGCGCAUGCAGGCGGCCUGUUAAGUCAGAUGUGAAAGCCCGGGGCUUAACCUCGGAAUUGCAUUUGAAACUGGCAGGCUAGAGUCUUGUAGAGGGGGUAGAAUUUCAGGUGUAGCGGUGAAAAUGCGUAGAGAUCUGAAGGAAUACCAGUGGCGAAGGCGGCCCCCUGGACAAAGACUGACGCUCAGAUGCGAAAGCGUGGGGAGCAAACAGGAUUAGAUACCCUGGUAG